rnacentral:misc_RNA from 1 species
AAGUCGUAACAAGGUUUCCGUAGGUGAACCUGCGGAAGGAUCAUUAAUGAGUUAGGGUCCCCUAGGCCCGAUCUCCAACCCUUUGUAUAAUUACCAUGUUGCUUUGACGGACCCGUCUUUAACCGGACCGUUGGGGGUCUUUGGACCUCUGGCCAGCGCCCGUCAGUAGCCCACAUCAAAUUCUUUUUAACCAUGUCAAAUCUGAAAAGUAGUUAAAUAAACUAAAACUUUCAACAACGGAUCUCUUGGUUCUG